GCCAAGGUCCAUCAUUCAUGAGGGCUUCAUGGAGGCUCUAGGGCUAGUUGGGCCCUAGGUUGAAAGGCUGUGGGCUUUUCGGGUUCUUGAGGUCUAGGUUAUGUGGGCCUCAAGGGACCAACUCUUUAUGGGCCAGGUCUGGGCCCAGGAUAGGUGAGAUUAGGUCGAGUCAUGGGUGUACAUGGGCUUGGGUUAACCUAAUCUCCCAUAGAGUUGGUCAAGGGAGUUUUGGGUUUGGGUCACUUGAUCCGGUGUUUAUAUAUACAUAUACUUGUAUAGGUUUGAUCAAGCCAAGUAAUAGAUGACUCUUUCUCCCAAGUCUCUCUCUCUCUUCUCCCUCUCUCUCCAGCCAUCCUCCAUGCCCCAGGAUCAAGAAACCCUAGGGUUUCUUGCUGCCAGGUCCAGAUAAGGAAAGAAAGAAGGGAGGCGCUAGCCCCUUCCUCCUUGCAGUCGCCAACCAGAUUUCUCUCCUCCUCUCU
rnacentral:lncRNA from 1 species